CAGCACAGAGGUGAAGGAGGUUAAUUAACUCAGAGAAAGGAAGCUGAGUGUCCCUACAUAACACCCCCUUCCAUAUGCAUUAGUUUUGAAGCCUGGAGACACUGUUUAACCAAACACAGCCCAUGACUUACUAACUUUCUGGUUUCCUCCCCCUCUUCCCUAUGUUACCAAUGCUGCAUAGAUGGAUGGGGCUGAAGCUAGUGAAAAGAUCACAGAAACAGCAGCCACUUCUGGGAAGAUAUCUCCUCAUGGACAAGUGAUCAGCCUUUCCCCCACAGUACUGGUGCUAGGCUGCAGAGAACAAGACACAGCACACUCUUCUGGCUGCUCCAUCUUGUGGCAGCCCUCACUGCACCCACUGUGAUGGGAAUUGCAGUGCCCAUCCCUCACUUCAAGCCUGCGUUCCUCCUCCCCACUCCCAGCUUCCAUCAGCAUCCUGCAAGUGCUGUCCUUCCCUUUUGGCCUACUGGCAAGGAACAAGGAACAAGUCCAUCCUGGCAUGUAACCACUGUGCAGAGCAGCUGCCAUCCCCAGCCCCAGCACCCUGCAGACAGACCUUCUUUGGAGCCAUGCAUGGUGUGAUUUUGGUUGCGGAGUUCAUCCUAGAAAUGCAUCGGUUUGGGAAUUCCUACAGCCACGUGGGACCUGAUUGGAUAAUGAAAAUCUCAUCUGCAGGCUGAAGCCAUCUGUGGACCAUUUUACUUGAAGCAGGGACAGAAACAUACUAAUUAAGACACAAUCAGUGACCAGCAAAUUACUUGUUUUUAAAGCCUAAUCCUUAUUUGCAUGAUAUCCCUACCUGCUUCUGAGCAAGCUGCAACAGUGCUGGCAGUGUUUAAGAGGAAUAGCGAGGAGGAGAUAGAAGAGAUGGGCAAGGUCCUUCUGCAGUCAGGCUGGUGGCUGCUGCAAUGUCCCUGCAAGUCUGCUGCAAGCAUCAGUACCCAGCAUUUCCUGGAAGGAUAUCUUGGAAUCUUGGAAGACAUCAUGGGUAUCUCUGAAGAUAAUAUUUCUUGGCAAGUAUCUUGGGAGAACUGCAGUAAAAUGAGCUGUAAAAAAACCCCUCCCCAGUGCUAGACCACCAUGUGUCUCAGAGAUACACUCCAGUGGGUCAAACUCUCACGCAGCUUUUGUUUGGCACACAGGCACAGAUGCUACAGUCGACCACCAGGGAGUGCCAAUUCCUUAAUUGCCCACACAGAUUUUCCUUACACUACCAUAGACAAGCAUGCAACCACAGUUUGUUUGGAUAUCCCGUCUGUUUUGUGGUAUGUUCCUAAAAAACACCAACUUGCUCACAGCUGAGAUGCUUGCUGACAGCUUGGAUCUAUUAAGGCUCAUGAGAUGUGGACGUUCCGCUAACGGGAUUCAAUUCAGCCAAGUUACCUCUAGUGUUCCCUACAGCUUGGUGAGUCAGCUCUGAAUUCCCAGUGAUCUGGGUUAAGAGAGAUGUCGAAUCCCAGAUGUUUCAACACCUGAGAAAUCUGUGUUUUACUGAUUAUUGAGCAAUACAUUUAAAAAGUGAAUGACAGACCUGGAAAGCAGCAUCUGCUUUUUCACUUCCUAACAUAUUUUCUUAGCCAAACUGAGGUUUUCAAGUUCACAGUGCAAAAUGAAACUGAAUUUCAUCCAAGUUUGCAGACUCGCUAAUGCUUUUCACAUUCA